GACGAACGCUGGCGGCGUGCUUAACACAUGCAAGUCGAACGGAAAGGCCCUGCUUUUGUGGGGUGCUCGAGUGGCGAGCGGGUGAGUAACACGUGAGUAACCUGCCCUUGACUUUGGGAUAACUUCAGGAAACUGGGGCUAAUACCGGAUAGGAGCUCCUGCUGCAUGGUGGGGGUUGGAAAGUUUCGGCGGUUGGGGAUGGACUCGCGGCUUAUCAGCUUGUUGGUGGGGUAGUGGCUUACCAAGGCUUUGACGGGUAGCCGGCCUGAGAGGGUGACCGGCCACAUUGGGACUGAGAUACGGCCCAGACUCCUACGGGAGGCAGCAGUGGGGAAUAUUGCACAAUGGGCGGAAGCCUGAUGCAGCAACGCCGCGUGCGGGAUGACGGCCUUCGGGUUGUAAACCGCUUUCGCCUGUGACGAAGCGUGAGUGACGGUAAUGGGUAAAGAAGCACCGGCUAACUACGU
rnacentral:rRNA from 1 species